rnacentral:rRNA from 1 species
UACGUAGGGUGCAAGCGUUGUCCGGAAUUAUUGGGCGUAAAGAGCUCGUAGGCGGUCUGUCGCGUCGGAUGUGAAAACCCGGGGCUUAACCCCGGGCCUGCAUUCGAUACGGGCAGACUCGAGUGUGGUAGGGGAGACUGGAACUCCUGGUGUAGCGGUGAAAUGCGCAGAUAUCAGGAGGAACACCGAUGGCGAAGGCAGAUCUCUGGGCCGUAACUGACGCUGAGGAGCGAAAGCAUGGGGAGCGAACAGG